rnacentral:siRNA from 1 species
CUGGUUUUGGCUGCAACUCUUGC